AACCAUAGAAACCUGCGGAGUACCUGCGGAAGGAUCAUUACAGAGUUGCAAAACUCCCUAAACCAUUGUGAACGUUACCUAAACCGUUGCUUCGGCGGGCGGCCCGGGUCCUUCCCGGCGCCCAUCGGCCCUCGCGGGCGCCCGCCGGAGGUAAACCAGACUAUUGCAUUGUAUGGCCUCUCUGAGUCUUCUGUACUGAAUAAGUCAAAACUUUCAACAACGGAUCUCAGAUCGGAAGAG
rnacentral:misc_RNA from 1 species